UAUUUUUGUACAAAAAAUAUUUGCCUAUGGAAUAUUUCACCCGCAUAGAUUAAUAACCCGCACGUGAGAUCUUCCUUCGCGCCAAAGGUCGUUGUCCUGACAACGAGUCUCGAGAGCAGCGGAUUACUUGUAACCGACAGUAAAUCAGCAUCUUUUCCGUAGUGUCUACUGCAGGAUGGAUAUAAAAGUAUAAAACACGUUUUGGUUUGACAACAUCGUUCAUAUGUGAACUAUCACAAUCAAAGCACAACGAUAUAACAUUACACUCCGAGACCUUUCACAAGUGCUACAAAAGAUUAGAAACGCUUUCCGGAAGAAGUUUAUCAGGCGAGGUGGAGACUAGUCGACUCAUCCAGUUUAGCGGUGAGUAUAAUGUCUAAUGUCCUCAUAUAUCUUUAGUUAUAAUUUUAGAGAGAUGUAAAAUGACUUGACGGAUAUCUUAUUCAACCCGCUGAGAUGAGAAGAAGAUGAGAGGAAACGCGCUUCUGUGCUGAUCUGUAGCGCUCGCGGGUCUUAUGACAGAAAGACAAACAACUGGUUUAAUGCUGUUUUUACUACAAUUUUAUGGUAAUAAACACCAACAUCUCAAUCCAACCAGUGACAACCCUGUGUAUGUAUUUAAUUUUGCUAUGGCUCAGCAAUUUGUUAUAAGCAUUUAUGUAGAAAUUAGUCAUGUCAUUGUCCAGCUCAGUUCAGUUCUCAAUAGCAUCAGUACAUCAUUUAUAAUAAUGAAUGAACAAAACUGCACUGAAUAUACUGUGUAUUUGUUUGUUUCUAGGAGAGCAUCAACCCCUAAUUGACAUGAGGAAAAAAUCAUUGAAAGGUGUUCAGUGUACAGUGUACCUCUCUUUGCAACAGAAGAAGCAUUAGGAAAGAGGAGAAGAGAGAAAGUGAAAAGGCACUCAACAGAUGUUGGAAAAUGCACUGGUAACAACUAAAAAAAGACGACCAAAAAAUAUAAUUCAACAGAGGAUGAUGGCUGUGGUGAAACAAGCACUCAAAUAAUGAAACUAAGACCAGUGGGAGUGCUGGAGAAAUCAAGUGUAUAAGUCCUCUGUCGUCUCAGCCAUGGAAGAGAUCUUCAGACAUGAAGAGAUCGAGGAGUUAAAUGAAAUCAAAGAGCUAAAAGAAGAUUUACAAUAUUAGUGCCAUUUCAGUAUGAAAACAGAGAGAGAGCUGAGGCAGUGGAAAGAAAUGCAUGUUAUUGUGUAGUUGCAUGGACUGUCAGUGGAGGGACAGAAAGCUCUGAGAUUUCAUUAUAAAGAUCUUCAUUUGUGUUCUGAAGAUGAACGAAAGACUCACGGGUUUGGAAUGAUAUGAGGGUGAGUUAUUGAUGACAGAAGAACCAAGUGGAAUGAUGAGGAUAAGCUCUUCAAAAAAUGAAACCUGUCAGAAUAAUGAGGGAAGAAACGUGCAUGAUUGUGUGAUUUGUAAAUAAACACUAAA